UCUGUCUUAUCUCCCCUCUUAUGUGACUCCCCUCCUCACCUUUUCUCCUCCUUUCUGUCUUUUCUCCCCUUUUCUCCUCUUUUUGUCGUCCUCUCCUCACCUCUCUCUGCACAUCAGCGUCGGUCUCUCACCUCUCUUUCUACCAAGUCACUCACUCCUCUCCUCAGCACUCUACUCUCAUUCUCUCCACUUUAUUGAGGUAUGAAUUUUUCUGAUGAAAUUAGAAUGUGAUUUAGGUUAGAAUUUGGGUAUUUCUAGUUUUGUUGAUAUAAGGGAUCAUUAAUAUUGUUGACUCAUCUUCUAAGCAUGUAUCUGAGUUAAAAUCUAUUCAAGAAGUUGAAGUUGUGGAACAAAUUGCUGUUGGGGAACUUGAAACUGGAAAGUGAGCUAACCAGAGACAUGCAAUUUGCAAAAAGCUGGAGCUACUAAGUGGAGUUCAAGGUACUGUGCACUGGUGACCGGACAAUAGCGGACGGAGCUGGGUGUUCAGAACAAAUUCGUCACGGGUUGGUGCUCGAAGGAUGAAGGAAGAAGAUAUGGAGAGGCAUACGCUGUAGAUCUGACGUCAGGCUAAUGAGGAUUGCAAAUCCAACCUAGGUUCUUGCGGUGGUUAUGCCCGAUCCGGCAUUGCGUUGCUCGGAUCAGGAGUCGGAUCACAAGAGAUGGUAGUUAGGGUAAUUUGUAAAAAAAAAAAUGUAUUAAAGUAAUGAAAAAUAGAGGGAGAAUGUGAAUAGAGAAAAUGAGUUUGCGAAUAGCACCACCCUUUAUAAAAUCCUAAAAUCCAAAUAUUGUA